rnacentral:rRNA from 1 species
CCCGCAAGGGGAAAGCAGCAAUGCGCUGGAAGAGGAGUCCGCGGCUGAUUAGCUAGUUGGUGAGGUAACGGCCCACCAAGGCGAAGAUCGGUAGCCGGCCUGAGAGGGCACACGGCCACACUGGCACUGAAAUACGGGCCAGACUCCUACGGGAGGCAGCAGUGGGGAAUCUUGCACAAUGGGGGAAACCCUGAUGCAGCGACGCCGCGUGAGCGAUGAAGCCCUUCGGGGUGUAAAGCUCUUUCGACGGGAACGAUAAUGACGGUACCCGGAGAAGAAGCUGCGGCUAACUACGUGCCAGCAGCCGCGGUAAUACGUAGGCAGCAAGCGUUGUUCGGAAUUACUGGGCGUAAAGAGUGCGUAGGUGGUGUUCCAAGUCUGGUGUGAAAUCUCCCGGCUCAACUGGGAGGGUGCGCCGGAAACUGGAAUGCUUGAGGGUGGGAGAGGUAAGCGGAAUUCCUGGUGUAGCGGUGAAAUGCGUAGAUAUCAGGAGGAACACCUGUGGUGUAGACAGCUUACUGGACCACUUCUGACACUGAGGCACGAAAGCGUGGGUAGCAAACAGGAUUAGAUACCCUGGUAGUCCACGCCCUAAACGAUGCAUACUUGGUGUGAGCGAUUCAUUUCGUUCGUGCCGGAGCUAACGCGU